rnacentral:lncRNA from 1 species
AUGGAGGAAGCAUUCAGUGAUGGAGAUGAACAAGCAGCAUUCACAAGGUUUCUCUCCUUCCCUAAGAGGUAUUACCCUGCAUUGUUAGGGACUGAGAGAUUCUACUUUAAGGCUUCAAGUUGCUGCAAUCAUUCAUUGAGGCAACAGUACAAAGCUGCCAAUUUGAAAACAAGGCUUUGCUCAGUAGCAGAAGAAAAUGAAAAAUUCAAGGGUAAAAUAAAAAGGACAUGUGCAUUGUGUAACCCAAAGGCUGAUGCUGGCAGAGGAUGGAUGAUACCAAGAUAGGAGCUGUGGCUGGGUCCUUUCCUGCACUGCUUAUCCAGAAGCACAGGAAGAACUAGAGG